rnacentral:rRNA from 1 species
UACGUACGAGGCAAGCGUUAUCCGGAAUUACUGGGCGUAAAGCGCGCGCAGGCGGAUGUUUAAGUAGGGCGUGAAAUCUCCCGGCCUAACUGGGAGGGGUCGCUCUAGACUGGGCGUCUUGAGGACUGCAGAGGUGGGUGGAAUUCCUGGUGUAGUGGUGAAAUGCGUAGAUAUCAGGAGGAACACCGGUGGUGUAGACGGCUAUCUGGACCGUAACUGACGCUGAGGCACGAAAGCGUGGGUAGCAAACAGGG